rnacentral:rRNA from 1 species
ACAACUUUCAGCGGUGGAUGUCUAGGUUCCCACAACGAUGAAGAACGCAGCGAAAUGCGAUACGUAAUGCGAAUUGCAAGACCUCGUGAAUCAUCAAAAUUUUGAACGCACAUUGCGCUUUCGGGUUUCCCCCGGGAGCAUGCUUGUCUGAGUGUCUGUGAAC